rnacentral:rRNA from 1 species
UACCAGCACCCCGAGUGGUCGGGACGAUUAUUGGGCCUAAAGCAUCCGUAGCCGGUUUUACAAGUCCCCCGUUAAAUCCAGCUGCUUAACAGAUGGGCUGCGGAGGAUACUAUAAGACUAGGAGGCAGGAGAGGCAAGCGGUACUCGAUGGGUAGGGGUAAAAUCCGUUGAUCCAUUGAAGACCACCAGUGGCGAAGGCGGCUUGCCAGAAUGCGCUCGACGGUGAGGGAUGAAAGCUGGGGGAGCAAACCGG